CGGGUGAGUAAUGCGUGACCAACCUGCCCCAUGCUCCAGAAUAGCUCUUGGAAACGGGUGGUAAUGCUGGAUGCUCCAACUUGACGCAUGUCUUGUUGGGAAAGUGUCUAGUGGCAUGGGAUGGGGUCGCGUCCUAUCAGCUUGUAGGCGGGGUAAUGGCCCACCUAGGCUUCGACGGGUAGCCGGCCUGAGAGGGCGGACGGCAACAUUGGGACUGAGAUACGGCCCAGACUCCUACGGGAGGCAGCAGGA
rnacentral:rRNA from 1 species